UCAAAAGCCGGUGUGACACGUCAAAGUGUAAACCUCUGCAUCAUGCUUAAAUUAAUAAACCAGGGCAUCUUAUGCAAGACACAUGAGCUAAGCCCACCCCACCACUAACUACCAGGAAGGCCUCCACUGCAUUUAUCUUCUGCUACUGCUUCAAAACUACCACAUCCCAAGAGAGCAAUGGGAAAAAGCACCAUGGGAUUUGUUUGCUUUGGAUCUAGUUCAACUCAAAACCACAGAGAUGGCUCCAUAACCAACCUCUGAUCAGAGAUGAUGAAGUCCAGGGCUAGUCAGACUUGGAGGGAGGUCUGAGAAAAACAUGGAUCUGCUCGAAAUAGAGAAAAAGUCAGAGCUGAAAAGCAUGGAAUUCAGUAAUUCUAGCACACACAAUAUUUUGGACACAUUUCCUCAGAUGCUCACGGUUCAAUUCACUAACUACUGCCUCUGGUGCUAUGAGGAGGCCUUACCAAAAUCUUAAGGGAAAAGCACCUGGUGAUUCGGUCAGCUGGGACUCCAACCCACCUCAGUGCACUAAAGAUGGCAACAGAAAUUGAAGUGAGAAUGAGCAGACUUCUUACCCUGUUUUAUUUUUUCAAGAAAAGAUGCCGUUUGUUUAAAAAUCACUUGCUGGAAUGCAGGCUGCUCAUCCACCGCAUGCUCCCAGUUUCACAUCUACUGUUGCCUUUGAGGAAUCAAAAUCUGCCACGUGGUGUCUGGCGAAACCUGCCCGAUUUUACUCUUCAUUACUUCUUGCAUGCCUGGGUGCUUAAAGAAGACCCCUCUUUUGAACAGCAGCUCACAGUCUGAUAAUAUUUCUCUUUGAAAAGUCAACAUACUAUCACUGUUUCGGAUUCAAUUAUACAGCGGGCUUUCUCUGCAUGGUAUGCAAGUGCUGUAUUUAGGUUAUAUUAAAUUAUGUUUUAAUAACAUCCACUGGCUUUUUUUUAUCCAC
ensembl:lncRNA